rnacentral:tRNA from 1 species
GCCGGUUUAGCUCAGCUGGUAGAGCACUUGAUUUGUAAUCAAGCGGUCGCGGGUUCGAAUCCUGCAACCGGCACCA